ACCUCGUGAAUCAUCAAAAUUUUGAACGCACAUUGCGCUUUUGGGUAACUCCCAAGAGCAUGCUUAUCUGAGUGUUCCUAAACCCCACUCAGC
rnacentral:rRNA from 1 species